UUUCUUUAUUUUCACACGUGGAAUUUUUAUCACGAAGACGCCGUUUGAUGUGUCAUUUUUUUUCCCUGGAGGAGCAGCGAGUGUGGGCGGCGGGUGGAGGGGGCGGCUCUCUCCGAUACCUGCGUGACGUCAUGCAGUAUUUGCUGUUAAUCCGGUUAACUGUCCGACAAACAGGCUCAUGUGUCGCUGCAUGUCCGCCCGACACUCACCUGACAACAUAAUCCUGGAGGAGGCGAAUGUUUCACUGCCAAAUAUUUAUUAACCACAAGCUAAUAAUGAAUAGAGACGCCAGGCUUAAUAGGAAUGAAUAGUCCUAUGAUCCCUUUCAGCCUUUCAGCUUUCCAGAAAUAAUCUAAACGUUGAUUAUUAAUUAUAUGCUAAUAAAUAUAUAUAUUUUUUUUCUUUUUCGUUUCUAUUCUUUCUUCUCAAGGCCUUUCCCUCUUGAUCUUCUUAACUGACUGGUGGAUAAUGGUUCUUCUCCCUCAGGCAGUGUUAACGCUCCAUAAGCUGUCGUCUUGCUUACAGUUUUUCUUCUUCCUCUCAUGUUCUCAAAGGUUAAUUUCUUCAUAUUUCGAGCUUAUUUUUACAUAUUUCUUUUACAGGUUAUUUCUGUAGCAAUGUGUAGCUUCGUAUUUCUUUCCCAGCCUCAUCUGUCCCUUCUCUCUGUGCCUCUCUUUCCUUUGGUUUGCCUUCAUUGCCUCGUCCUCAUCCCAGGCAUCCCUCUUCAGAUAUGCCGCAUCCCUCACUCCUCAACGUGUUCCUCAUUCCUUUCUUCCUUCUUCUGUUUUUCUUCUUCUUUCUUUAUUAUUUUUCCUUAUUUUCUUCCUGUUACUCUUCCUUUUGCUCAUGUUCUUGCCUCUUCUCUUCCUCCUCUAUCCUCGUCCUCUCUUCUCUCUUCUACUUCCACAGGGAAGGUCCUUGUCCUCCUUAACAUCACACUCCCUUCCUCCCUUACUCUAGAUUCCCACCAUUAACUCUCCCGUACAUUCCCUCUCUCCUCCUCUUCCUCCUCCUGCUGCUCUCCCUCCUCGUCCCUCCAGUUUCCCCUCCCUGCCGCUCGCUCCCCUCACCACUAUCACGUCUGCGUCACCCCCUCCCGAUCAAUAGACCUGCUACGUUUUUAAAUUAAAAGAGAAAAGACGUUUGCGCACACGAUCUAAGCACAGAGGCAAAGAGGGAAGAUGAGGGAAAAUGAAAAUGUGGUGAGCGCUAGAGAGGCUUUUUCAUCCCCAUCUUCUUGGGAAGCGAGGAGGAGGAGGAGGAAAAGGAGGCGGUAACGGCGGCGGCCCUGCUCCUCCCGUCACUGUCACAUUAGAGUGAGAGAGAGCGUCGAUGAGGCAUCGCGGCAGAUUACCAAUGGCCGGUGCCUCGCGGUGGUUAUCGGCGAAAAUAAUCCGGAAUGGAACUAACCGACAAGAUCAACAAAGGUAGAAGGAUAGAGGGCAGAGGGGGGGUGAGCGGGAAGGAAGGGAGAGGGAGGGGACGGACCCUCACAGCUGCAGUUCGCUGGCGGUCGGUGGGAUCUGCGCAGGAGCCAGCGGCGGCGGUGGUGGCGGAGGUAGCGGCGACAGCGGCAGCAAUCGGCGGUGGCGGCAGCGGCGGGGCCAGGCUUGAGGGCCGCCAUUGCAGGCACCGGGAAGGGUUGUCGUCGCCUCACGCAGCCUUUCUCACCGCCGUCCAGGAUCCAGAAGACGGGACACGCAACGCGGCGACUGGAGGAGCUUGUGCAUCCUCAGACUGACGUGCUUGGCGAUAGUAACAAAUGAACCAAACGGAUACAAGAACCUUCUCCAAGACUUCACCGCACCUUCCCCACCAGCAUCCGGUUCAAAGGAAUGGCAGAUGGAGGAAGAAGAACGAGGUGUUGUGUCCAUGUAGCAGGUCGUGGCGCCAUCUUUUGCCGGGAAGAUGAGCUAGACUACAAUGG